GGUGUGCGAUAGACUAACCUCCACGUGGUGCACGCUAGGCAACGUAUACUCAUACGGCAAAAAAGUCUAU
rnacentral:ribozyme from 1 species